UAAAGGCUUACCAAGCCUACGAUCUGUAGCUGGUCUGAGAGGACGACCAGCCACACUGGGACUGAGACACGGCCCAGACUCCUACGGGAGGCAGCAGUGGGGAAUUUUGGACAAUGGGCGAAAGCCUGAUCCAGCAAUGCCGCGUGCAGGAUGAAGGCCUUCGGGUUGUAAACUGCUUUUGUACGGAACGAAAAGGCGCCUACUAAUACUGGGUGUUGAUGACGGUACCGUAAGAAUAAGCACCGGCUAACUACGUGCCAGCAGCCGCGGUAAUACGUAGGGUGCAAGCGUUAAUCGGAAUUACUGGGCGUAAAGCGUGCGCAGGCGGUGUUGUAAGACAGUUGUGAAAUCCCCGGGCUCAACCUGGGAACUGCAUCUGUGACUGCAAUGCUGGAGUGCGGCAGAGGGGGAUGGAAUUCCGCGUGUAGCAGUGAAAUGCGUAGAUAUGCGGAGGAACACCGAUGGCGAAGGCAAUCCCCUGGGCC
rnacentral:rRNA from 1 species